AGUGGUUUGUGUCUUGCUGGGGUCUCUUGAGAGCCAUAUGGAGGAAUUGAAUAGUAUUGUCCUCCAUAGGUCCUCCAGAGUCCUCAGUAGAUAAAACCUAUC